AUUGAACGCUGGCGGCAUGCUUUACACAUGCCAGUCGAACGGUAACAGGCCUUCUGGUUCUGUCGUGUGGCGGACGGGUGGGUAAUGCAUCGGAACGUGCCCAGCGGUGGGGGAUAACGCAGCGAAAGCUGUGCUAAUACCGCAUGUGAUCUGAGGAUGAAAGCGGGGGACCAGGCAGCAAUGUUUGGCCUCGCGCCUUUGGAGCGGCCGAUGUCAGAUUAGGUAGUUGGUGGGGUAAAGGCCUACCAAGCCGACGAUCUGUAGCUGGUCUGAGAGGACGACCAGCCACACUGGGACUGAGACACGGCCCAGACUCCUACGGGAGGCAGCAGUGGGGAAUAUUGGACAAUGGGCGCAAGCCUGAUCGAGCAAUGCCGCGUGCGUGAAGAAGGCCUUCGGGUUGUAAGACGCUGUUGUACGGAACGAAAAGGCUCUGGCUAAUACAUGGGGCUGAUGACGGUACCGGAAGAAUAAGCACCGGCUAACUACGUG
rnacentral:rRNA from 1 species